ACCAGACUCCUACGGGGGGCAGCAGUGGGGAAUAUUGCACAAUGGGGGGAACCCUGAUGCAGCGACGCCGCGUGGGUGAAGGAGUAUUUCGGUAUGUAAAGCCCUAUCAGCAGGGAAGAACAAUGACGGUACCUGACUAAGAAGCACCGGCUAAAUACGUGCCAGCAGCCGCGGUAAUACGUAGGGGGCAAGCGUUAUCCGGAUUUACUGGGGGUAAAGGGGGCGCAGACGGCGAUGCAAGCCAGGAGUGAAAGCCCGGGGCCCAACCCCGGGACUGCUCUUGGAACUGCGUGGCUGGAGUGCAGGAGGGGCAGGCGGAAUUCCUGGUGUAGCGGUGAAAUGCGUAGAUAUCAGGAGGAACACCGGUGGCGAAGGCGGCCUGCUGGACUGCGACUGACGUUGAGGCCCAAAAGCGUGGGGAGCAAACAGGAUUAGAUACCCCGGUAAC
rnacentral:rRNA from 1 species